rnacentral:rRNA from 1 species
ACCGAGGACCCGCGUCCGAUACUGUCGAACUUGAGUGCAGGAGAGGAGAGCGGAAUUCCGCAUGUAGCGGUGAAAUGCGUAGAGAUGCGGAGGAACACCAGUGGCGAAGGCGGCUACCUGGACCAACACUGACACUGAGGCACGAAAGCGUGGGUAGCAAACAGGAUUAGAUACCCUGGUAGUCCACGCCCUAAACGAUGGGUACUAGACGUCGGGAAGUUUAUCUUCUUGGUGUCGCAGCUAACGCAAUAAGUACCCCGCCUGGGGAGUACGGUCGCAAGAUUAAAACUCAAAGGAAUUGACGGGGGCCCGCACAAGCGGUGGAGCAUGUGGUUUAAUUCGAUGCAACGCGCAAAACCUUACCUGCCCUUGACAUCUGGAGAACUUGGCAGAGAUGCCUUGGUGCCUUCGGGAACUCCAAGACAGGUGCUG